AGCGAACGUUAGCGGCGGGCUUAACACAUGCAAGUCGAACGCGAAAGCUCCUUCGGGGGUGAGUAGAGUGGCGCACGGGUGAGUAACACGUAGGUAAUCUGCCCUCUGGUGGGGGACAACUGUCCGAAAGGACAGCUAAUACCGCAAGAGACCACGGCACCUCCGGGUGACGAGGUAAAAGGUGGCUUCGGCUACCGCCAGAGGAUGAGCCUGCGUAGCAUCAGCUAGUUGGUGGGGUAACGGCCUACCAAGGCUAAGACGCUUAGCUGGUCUGAGAGGAUGAUCAGCCACACUGGCACUGAAACACGGGCCAGACUCCUACGGGAGGCAG
rnacentral:rRNA from 1 species